AUUGAACGCUGGCGGCAGGCUUAACACAUGCAAGUCGAGCGAGCGGCGGACGGGUGAGUAAUGUCUGGGACACUGCCUGAUGGAGGGGGAUAACUACUGGAAACGGUAGCUAAUACCGCAUACCAUCAGAUGAACCCAUAUGGGAUUAGCUGGUAGGUAAGGGAACGGCUUAACUAGGCGCCGAUACCUAGCUGGUCUGAGAGGAUGAUCAGCCAAAAUGGGACUGAGACACGGCCCAGACUCCUACGGGAGGCAGCAGGGGGGAAUAUUGCACAAUGGGCGCAAGCCUGAUGCAGCCAUGCCGCGUGUAGGAAGAAGGCCUUCGGGUUGUAAAGUACUUUCAGUCGGGAGGCGUUACCGACAGAAGAAGCACCGGCUAACUCCGUGCCAGCAGCCGCGGUAAUUC
rnacentral:rRNA from 1 species